CCUACGGGUGGCAGCAGUGGGGAAUAUUGCACAAUGGGGGAAACCCUGACGCAGCGACGCCGCGUGAGUGAGGAAGUAUUUCGGGAUGUAAAGCUCUAUCAGCAGGGAAGAAAAUGACGGUACCUGAUUAAGAAGCCCCGGCGAACUACGUGCCAGCAGCCGCGGUAAUACGGAGGGGGCAAGCGCUAUCCGGAGUUACUGGGUGUAAAGGGAGCGUAGACGGGUAAUCAAGUAAGAAGUGAAAACCCUGGGAUCAAACUUGGAAUUGCUUUUGAAACUGGGUAGCUUGAGUGCAGGAGAGGUAAGCGGAAUUCCUGGUGUAGCGGUGAAAUGCGUAGAUAUAAGGAGGAACACCAGUGGCGAAGGCGGUUUACUGGACUGUAACUGACGUUGAGGCGCGAAAGCGUGGGGAGCAAACAGGAUUAGAUACCCCUGUAGUC
rnacentral:rRNA from 1 species